UACGGAGGAUCCAAGCGUUAUCCGGAAUCAUUGGGUUUAAAGGGUGCGUAGGCGGUUCCAUAAGUCAGUGGUGAAAUACGGCAGCUCAACUGUCGAGGUGCCAUUGAUACUGCGGAACUUGAGUACUGAUGAGGUAGGCGGAAUUGACGGUGUAGCGGUGAAAUGCUUAGAUAUCGUCAAGAACACCGAUAGCGAAGGCAGCUUACCAAGCAGUAACUGACGCUGAGGCACGAAAGUGCGGGGAUCAAACAGG
rnacentral:rRNA from 1 species